rnacentral:tRNA from 2 species
GGGCCGCUAGCUCAGGUGGUAGAGCACCGGCCUUUUAAGCCGGGUGUCGUGGGUUCGAACCCCACGCGGCUCACCA